GAUGAACGCUGGCGGCGUGCCUAAUACAUGCAAGUAGAACGCUGAAGGCGGAGCUUGCUCUUCUGGAUGAGUUGCGAACGGGUGAGUAACGCGUAGGUAACCUGCCUGGUAGCGGGGGAUAACUAUUGGAAACGAUAGCUAAUACCGCAUGACAACAGUUAUUGCAUGAUAACUGUUUAAAAGGGGCAACUGCUCCACUACCAGAUGGACCUGCGUUGUAUUAGCUAGUCGGUGAGGUAACGGCUCACCAAGGCGACGAUACAUAGCCGACCUGAGAGGGUGAUCGGCCACGCUGGGACGGAGACACGGCCCAGACUCCUACGGGAGGCAGCAGUAGGGAAUCUUCGGCAAUGGACGGAAGUCUGACCGAGCAACGCCGCGUGAGGGAAGAAGGUUUUCGGAUCGUAAAGCUCUGUUGUAAGAGAAGAACGAGUGUGAGAGUGGAAAGGUCACACUGUGACGGUAUCUUACCAGAAAGGGACGGCUAACUACGUG
rnacentral:rRNA from 1 species